rnacentral:tRNA from 2 species
GGUCAGGAUAGCUCAGUUGGUAGAGCAGAGGACUGAAAAUCCUCGU